rnacentral:rRNA from 1 species
GACGAACGCUGGCGGCGUGCUUAACACAUGCAGGUCGAACGGGCCCGCUCUCUUUUUUGGGGGUGGGUUGAGUGGUGAACGGGUGAGUAUCACGUGAGUAACCUGCCCCCUGCUCCUGGAUAACUGCUUGAAAGGGCGGCUAAUACGGGGUGUGCCGGCUGGUCCGCAUGGGCCUGGUCGGGAUAGUUUCAUCUUCGGGUGUUUCGGUGGGGGAUGGGCUCGCGGCCUAUCAGCUUGUUGGUGGGGUGAUGGCCCACCAAGGCGGUGACGGGUAGCCGGCCUGAGAGGGUGGGCGGCCACACUGGGACUGAGACACGGCCCAGACUCCGGCGGGAGGCAGCAGUGGGGGGUAUUGCACAAUGGGCGGAAGCCUGAUGCAGCGACGUCGCGUGAGGGAUGGAGGCCUUCGGGUUGUGAACCUCUUUCUCCGGUGGUGAAGGCCCUGUCCGUUGCGGCGGGGUUGACGGUAGCCGGGUAUGAAGCGCCGGCUAACUACGUG